UACGUAGGGGGCAAGCGUUGUCCGGAAUUAUUGGGCGUAAAGAGCGUGUAGGCGGUCCGGUAAGUCAGCUGUGAAAGUCAAGGGCUCAACCCUUGAAUGCCGGUUGAUACUGUCGGGCUAGAGUCCGGAAGAGGCGAGUGGAAUUCCCGGUGUAGCGGUGAAAUGCGCAGAUAUCAGGAGGAACACCGGUGGCGAAGGCGGGUCUCUGGGCAACAACUGACGCUGAGGAGCGAAAGCGUGGGGAGCGAACAGG
rnacentral:rRNA from 1 species